rnacentral:lncRNA from 1 species
AUGCAGAUUUUUGUUAAAACCCUCACAGAGAAGACCAUCACUUUGGAGACUGAACUCUUGCAUACAGUAGGCCAAGAUUCAGGAUAAGGAAGAAAUGCCUCCUGACUAGCAAAAAUUGACCUUCACUGGCAAACAACUAGAAGAUGGACAUCCUCCGUCUGACCACAAAAUUCAAAAGGGGUACACUCUCUAUCUUAUUUUGAAGUUUUGUGGUGGUGCUAAAGAAGAAGUUUUAUACAAGUCUCAAGAAGAAUAAGCAUAAGAGAAAGAGGGUGACACUGGCUAUCUUGAAAUACUAUAUAGUGAAUGAGAAUGACAAAAACUAGUCACCUUCAUUGGAAGUGUCCUUCAGAUGAAUGUGGUGCUAGAGUUUUUAAUGGCCAGCCACUUUGACAGAUAUUACUGUGGCAAAUGUUUUCUGACCUACUAUUUCAACAAACCAGAAUGCAAGUAA